AGCGAACGCUGGCGGCAUGCCUAACACAUGCAAGUCGAGCGCUCCCAGCAAUGGGGAGCGGCGGACGGGUGAGUAACGCGUAGGAACGUAUCCUGAGGUGGGGGAUAACCCUGGGAAACUAGGGCUAAUACCGCAUGAUGGCGAGAGCCCAAAGAUUUAUCGCCUUGGGAGCGGCCUGCGUCUGAUUAGCUUGUUGGUGGGGUAACGGCCUACCAAGGCGAUGAUCAGUAGCUGGUCUGAGAGGAUGAUCAGCCACACUGGGACUGAGACACGGCCCAGACUCCUACGGGAGGCAGCAGUGGGGAAUAUUGGACAAUGGGCGAAAGCCUGAUCCAGCAAUGCCGCGUGGAUGAAGAAGGUCUUCGGAUUGUAAAGUCCUUUUCGGCGGGGACGAUGAUGACGGUACCCGCAGAAGAAGCCCCGGCUAACUUCGUG
rnacentral:rRNA from 1 species